AUUGAACGCUGGCGGCAGGCCUAACACAUGCCAGUCGAGCGGAUGAAGGGAGCUUGCUCCUGGAUUCAGCGGCGGACGGGUGAGUAAUGCCUAGGAAUCUGCCUGGUAGUGGGGGUUAACGUCGGAAACCGGGGGCUAUUCCCGCAUAGGUCCUGAGGGAGAAAGGGGGGGACCUUCGGACCCCACGCUAUCAGAUGAGCCUAGGUCGGAUUAGCUAGUUGGUGGGGUAAAGGCCUACCAAGGCGACGAUCCGUAACUGGUCUGAGAGGAUGAUCAGUCACACUGGAACUGAGACACGGUCCAGACUCCUACGGGAGGCAGCAGUGGGGAAUAUUGGACAAUGGGCGAAAGCCUGAUCCAGCCAUGCCGCGUGUGUGAAGAAGGUCUUCGGAUUGUAAAGCACUUUAAGUUGGGAGGAAGGGCAGUAAGUUAAUACCUUGCUGUUUUGACGUUACCAACAGAAUAAGCACCGGCUAACUUCGUG
rnacentral:rRNA from 1 species